rnacentral:rRNA from 1 species
GAUGAACGCUAGCGGCAGGCUUAACACAUGCAAGUCGAGGGGUAGAGGUUGCUUGCAACCUUGAGACCGGCGCACGGGUGCGUAACGCGUAUGCAACCUACCUUUUACAGAGGGAUAGCCCAGCGAAAUUUGGAUUAAUACCUCAUAGUAUAUAGUCUUCGCAUGUUGACUAUAUUAAAGUUCCAACGGUAAAAGAUGGGCAUGCGUCCUAUUAGCUAGAUGGUAAGGUAACGGCUUACCAUGGCAACGAUAGGUAGGGGUACUGAGAGGGAGAUCCCCCACACUGGUACUGAGACACGGACCAGACUCCUACGGGAGGCAGCAGUGAGGAAUAUUGGACAAUGGGCGCAAGCCUGAUCCAGCCAUGCCGCGUGCAGGAAGAAGCAUCUAUGGUGUGUAAACUGCUUUUGUACAGGAAGAAACACCCCGACGUGUCGGGACUUGACGGUACUGUAAGAAUAAGGAUCGGCUAACUCCGUGCCAGCCGCCGCGGUAAAAC